rnacentral:sRNA from 1 species
UGUAAGAUGAAUACGAUGAAGAUGAUGG